GGCUAACAUGGUCAUGUCCGACAAGGACCCCAACACCCUCAAGGUCAUCGACUUUGGUGUGAGCCUGGUACAGGAGCGGUUAAGACGCUAUAAUCGUAUCCAGACUCAGUCGAUCCGUGCUCCAGAGGUGACUCUGGGUCUUUUGUGCACCACUGCCAUUGACAUGUGGAGCUUUGGCUGCUGCUUGAUAGAGCUCCUCAUUGGAAGAGAAGCUUUCUCUGGAGCUGGAGAAAUUGAACAACUCACGCGCACCAUAGAGAUACUGGGAAUGCCUCCAGAAGAAUUAGUGGAUUUGUCAUUUCAAAGGAAUGUGUUUUUUG